rnacentral:rRNA from 1 species
UACGUAGGGUGCGAGCGUUAAUCGGAAUUACUGGGCGUAAAGCGUGCGCAGGCGGUUCGCCAAGUCAGGUGUGAAAUCCCCGGGCUUAACCUGGGAAUUGCGCUUGAAACUAGCGGGCUUGAGUGUGGCAGAGGGGGGUGGAAUUCCACGUGUAGCAGUGAAAUGCGUAGAGAUGUGGAGGAACACCGAUGGCGAGGGCAGUCCCCUGGGCCUGCACUGACACUCAUGCACGAAAGCGUGGGGAGCAAACAGG